CAGCAGCCACGGUAAUACGUAGGGUGCAAGCGUUAAUCGGAAUUACUGGGCGUAAAGCGUGCGCAGGCGGUUUUGUAAGACAGAGGUGAAAUCCCCGGGCUCAACCUGGGAACUGCCUUUGUGACUGCAAGGCUAGAGUACGGCAGAGGGGGAUGGAAUUCCGCGUGUAGCAGUGAAAUGCGUAGAUAUGCGGAGGAACACCGAUGGCGAAGGCAAUCCCCUGGGCCUGUACUGACGCUCAUGCACGAAAGCGUGGGGAGCAAACAGGAUUAGAUACCCCCGGUAGUCCCUGUCUCUUAUA
rnacentral:rRNA from 1 species